UACGUAGGAUGCAAGCGCUGUCCGGAUUUAUUGGGUUUAACGGGUGCGUAGCCGGCCUAUUAAGUUAGUGGUGACAACGUUCGCCUUAACCGGAUACCCGCCAUUGAUACUGAUAGACUUGAGUGCGACAGAGGGUGUUGGAAUGUGUGGUGUAGCGGUGAAAUGCUUAGAUAUCACGCAGAACACCAAUUGCGAAGGCAGAUGCCUAUGUCGUAACUGACGCUGAGGCACGAAAGCGUGGGGAGCAAACAGG
rnacentral:rRNA from 1 species